rnacentral:rRNA from 1 species
UACGUAGGGCGCGAGCGUUGUCCGGAUUUAUUGGGCGUAAAGAGCUCGUAGGCGGUUUGUUGCGUCGGCUGUGAAAUCCCGAGGCUCAACCUCGGGUCUGCAGUCGAUACGAGCAAACUAGAGUGUUGCAGGGGAGACUGGAAUUCCUGGUGUAGCGGUGAAAUGCGCAGAUAUCAGGAGGAACACCGGUGGCGAAGGCGGGUCUCUGGGCAACAACUGACGCUGAGGAGCGAAAGCGUGGGGAGCAAGCAGG